UCUUCCACCUCGCAAUCACCCCACAAAAUGACUGCCAAGCCUUAUCCCCGAAGCUGGUCGAGCCGUUGGAGCGCCCGUGAGCGCCUCGGGUUCCCCCUCCUCUCACCCUCUUUGCCCGGUUGCCGUGACCAGGCCUCGACUGCUGCUCGCCUGCCGUCUCAGGGCGACGCGAUUCGAAAUCGCGCCCGCCCGUGAAGCCACCGCGCGCGCCCGAGCCCGAGAGCUUCCCAAACCCUAGCCACCCUCGUUUCCCCUGUAAAUGGAGCCCUCUCCGCUCAUUCCCUUCCCCUCCCUCCAUUCCACCUCUCGGCCGCCACUUUUCCCCACCGAGACCACCCACUCCCUCUCUUUUCUCCCUCUGCCCCGGUGAGGGCAGCCGACCGCGACCCUCACCACCGGCAGCAGGGAAAGGAAGAUCCGCCACCGCCGUCGGAGGAUCGCCGACCCAGCUUUCGUUCGCCGCCGUCUCUCUCCCUGCUCGAAGAUGACCGGAGAUCGGGGCACGUGAAGGAGACGCCGCCGGCAGCAUCUCCCUCUCUUCCGAGUUUCGGUGCGGCUUCCCCGUGCUCCCUUCUCCCUCUCCGUGCGCUAGCCAGCUCCCCCUUCUCUUCCUCACUGAGCACUGCACAAGCACUAUCUCUUUUCCCCACCGCCGGCCAUCCUCAGGUGACUAGCGCGGCACCAGCAUGCGCCAUGGCUUCCCCUCUUCACGUAAAGCUGCCUAAUGCCUAGGUUAGAGCCGUUAGUUGCCGCCGCCUUCUUCUCGGUUCCUCUUACUUAACUGCACCUUAACUGCACCGUGUGAAGUAGCCACCGUCAUGUGAGCUGCACGGGGUGACAUAGUUACUGACACGUGUGACUCAUUUAAAUUGGAACACAUAUUAGUGGUCACAUCAUGAUAUAGUUAAGUUAGAGCAUCUCUUUCUCGUCGUCUCAACGUAGGAGAUGGUAUUCCUUUGUUUCAAAGGACCAUGUAGGAGAUGGUAUUCAAAUCCUAUAAAAUUUCUCUAAACAUCCUAUGUUCCAAAUGACCUUUAGUUUUGAAUCAUGUUAAGGGCCCUUUCAAGUUUUGGAUGAAGGGUGACUAAAAUAACCUCCUGCCAUAUCUUAUGACGGAAAACGAGGUAGUAAAUGAAUAGAGUUAUUAGAGGUAGUUUGCAAACCUUCAAGUAUAUGUAAACAAAAUUUCUAGUGAAAAAAUCCAAGUAUCUGUAAACGGAGGGAGUGCUUACAAGCACACAUCAAAGACAUCACCAAACUAUAAUAACUAUAAGUUGGAGAUGUGUGAUGUAGGUAAGUUUAAUUUCGUAUCGCCUAGCAUCCAACGGCCACCAGCCAUGUACUGCAACCAGUGCAUUUUUUGGUUUGAUGCAUCAUGGGAUUUUCACGAUGGCACAAAUGGCCACGAUACGCCAAGAACCAUGUGCUCCUUUUGCACCAUCUUAAUAUUUAAUAAAAAUGUGAACAAACCAUCAAUUCAUAUGUUGAAUUACCUUGUAAAACCGAAUUAGUUCAGAUCGAUAACUUCUCUUCAUUCAGUCCAACGAAACGUAGAUACAUAAAAACAAUUCCAUCCAAUGAAGAACCUCCAAUUGUUGCUUUCCAAUUAUGUAGCAAGCCAGCUCCCAGAUCGCUGGAGCAAGAGUCGGACCAAGGACAUCCAGCUCUUCCAUAUUUUCUUCUGUUUUGGUAGAUGCCAUUAUCCCCUCCUGUGGAGCUCACUGGCUCACAGUCCUCAAGAAAUGGGUGAUCCGUGUAGCCGACAACAGGAUCAUCGGUAUAGAAUGUUGAUCGAUCGUACUUGUUCAGAGGAGAGUUCAAACGUCGGCAGGACAGGAUUAGCCAAGAACAAGCGACCAUACACGACCAUGUCAGUGUAUCCAUCAGCCACAACUUUGUUUCCCUCCUCCCUGUCGUACCCUCCACCAACCAUGAACGUUCCGUUGAAGGCCUUCCUCAUUUGGUUCCACCGCACCGGAGUACAGGAUGUUGUAUUUUGUUCAGUUCCUGAGCCAUGUAGACACCCAAUGUGUAUGGGUCUGAGUCAUGCCAUCUGAGGUACUUGCCAUGAGAGAGGCGGAUCCCGACACGGUCGGACCCAACCUUGCCACCACGGCGUCAACUACCUCAAGGGCAAAGCAACAGCAGUUUGUCAGUUAUCAUCUCGGUUAACUCCAAUAAUCUACCGAGUCCUAAGGGCAUGUACAAUACAAAAUACAAAGACUCUUAUCUAGCUGCUUAAAGAGAGAGAAAAAUACUACAUCAUCAAGUAAAUAUGCAAGAACCUCAAUCUACAAUGGGAAUUACUAUUUUAUAGAUGUUUAAAGGGACCGUUAAAUUUAAGAGCUCGUUUAAGUGUCUUCGCCCACAAUGCACCUGAGCUGCUUCCACCAUUUUUGCCUCAAGUAACAACCAAGCGCCAGACUCCACCAGGUCGCAGGCAAACUGUUCAACGCGUCGAUCUCCAGAGGGAGCAGCGACUCCGCCUGCAAGCGUCCUUGAGCGAUCGGGUUGGCCUCCACCGUGACAUGAUAUCCGAAAGGUCCGAAUUGUCUCUAGUUGGGGUCCGCGAGUUGAACUUAGUUUUGGACCCGGAAAUUCCGGGUGAAUCCGAAACCUCCAGAUUCUGUUAAAUUGUCGAUGUUCUAAGUGAAGCUAACUCCGAAUGAAUUCGAAUAUUCUAGAUUGAGCUAGAAUUUACUGAAACGGCUAGUUUUAGGUAUAAAUAUCCCCUCACCCCCUUCUCUCAUGGCCUGCCAACCUAACCCGUGACAAACCCAUUGAAAGCACCACUAGAGCACUCCCCAUUCCCUUUGGCUUUAAUUCUUGCUAGGUUUUGAAAGUUAGAUGAGAGAUUUGAUAUUGAGUGCAAGUGAGCAUCAUUCUCAUCUUUGAGCACUUACUCAUUGUCAAGCCACAUCGACAUCGAGUUUGCUACUCUUGGAGGUUCAUCAACCUAGAUGGCUAGACGUCACUCACCGAGCACCCAAACUUGUAGAGUGCCACAAGAAGUUUGUGGAGGCUCCUUCAAACCUCCGCAAAGGAAGUGGACAAUUGAGUAAAACCGAGCUCAAUCUUUUUGUCGCUUGAUGAUGUAAAGAGUUGAAAUAGAUUCGCGUCUUUGUGAGCUCCUCAAUGGAGACGUAGGAUUCUUAGAUUCGAACUUUAGAAACAAAUCACUUGUCUCGUUGCUUAUGUUCUCAUGUUCAUGUGUUCAUUUUUGUUCUAGUUGACUUUUGAUAACUCACCCCGAUUUACUUGUUUGUGUGAUUGUGGCUGCAAAAAGACUUAUGGAAAGAACUUACCACAUCUCUUGUGACCUGUAGUAACAUCUAAAAUACUCUAGGAGUGCCUAGACGUUGUUCGAUUUCAUACUCUGUAUUCGGAAAGUCCGGGUUAAGCUCAUAACUUCUGAUACCCAGAAGUUUCAAAUUAAACCCAAAUGUUCCAGAUUUUGUUUAAUCCGAUGCAAAAUUUUAAUUUUUUAGAAACGCCUAUUCACCCCCUUUAGGUGACAUCACAAACCUUCAUAGUGCCGCAAGUUGACACCUGGGCGAUGGUGGCGUGGUGGCUAGAGUUAGGUGUGAGGACUAGGAGUGGAGACUUGGGGUGGCAAGCCGUACGCGUCGUUGCGGGUAGGGGUCUAGCAGGGUUGACAGGUGAGUCGGGCCAGCAUGGGCAUGGCCUAGCUCGGGCACGAGACGGCCCAGGAGGCACGGCACGGCCCGGGCACGGACGGCCCAGCACGGCACGGUCGGCCCAUCACGCUAACGGGUUAAACGGGUCGGGAUUGCAAAAAAUUCAAAAAAAUUGCAAAAAUCACCAUUUUUCACCUAUAAAUAGAGGAGCAUUCUACCCUUCCAUUCCACACCAGCAACACCAUUUUCUCUCUUGUUUCCUCCUCUCAUUCUUGUCUCAAAGUUCCUGAGAAUUAGCGAUAAUUUAGCAAAAUUAGUUUGAAUUGUUGCAAAAAAAUCCGAGCAAUUCCAAAACCG